GAUGAACGCUGGCGGCGUGCCUAACACAUGCAAGUCGAACGGAGAUUAUAAACGGAAGUUUUCGGAUGGAAGUUUGUAAUUCUUAGUGGCGGACGGGUGAGUAACGCGUGGGCAACCUGCCCUAUACAGGGGGAUAGCAGCUGGAAACGGCUGGUAAGACCGCAUAAGUCGGUUAAAUCGCAUGAUUUGAUCGGGAAAUGAGCAAUCAGGUAUAGGAUGGGCCCGCGUCCGAUUAGCCAGUUGGCAGGGUAAAAGCCUACCAAAGCGACGAUCGGUAGCCGGACUGAGAGGUCGGACGGCCACAUUGGGACUGAGACACGGCCCAAACUCCUACGGGAGGCAGCAGUGGGGGAUAUUGCACAAUGGAGGAAACUCUGAUGCAGCGACGCCGCGUGAGUGAAGAAGUAUUUCGGUAUGUAAAGCUCUAUCAGCAGGGAAGAUGAUGACGGUACCUGACUAAGAAGCCCGG
rnacentral:rRNA from 1 species